rnacentral:rRNA from 1 species
AGUCGAGGGGUACAGGUCACUUCGGUGAUGCUGACGACCGGCGCACGGGUGAGUAACGCGUAUGGAACCUACCUGAAACAGGGGGAUAGCUUCCGGAAACGGGGAUUAAUACCCCAUACGAUUCAUUUGUGGCCUCACAAAUGGAUAAAAGCUACGGCGGUUUCAGAUGGUCAUGCGUACCAUUAGUUAGUUGGUGAGGUAAAGGCUCACCAAGGCGAUGAUGGUUAGGGGUCCUGAGAGGGUAGUCCCCCACACUGGUACUGAGACACGGACCAGACUCCUACGGGAGGCAGCAGUGAGGAAUAUUGGUCAAUGGGCGCUAGCCUGAACCAGCCAUGCCGCGUGCAGGAAGACGGCCCUACGGGUUGUAAACUGCUUUUCUGCAGGAAGAAUAUAUAGUCUUAGGGCUAUAUUGACGGUACUGCAGGAAUAAGCAUCGGCUAACUCCGUGCCAGCAGCCGCGGUAAUACGGAGGAUGCAAGCGUUAUCCGGAUUCAUUGGGUUUAAAGGGUGCGCAGGCUGUAAAGCAAGUCAGUGGUGAAAGCCCUGGGCUUAACUCAGGGAUUGCCCAUUGAAACUGUUUUACUAGAGUGUAGUAGAGGACGGCGGAAUGAGUUGUGUAGCGGUGAAAUGCAUAGAUAUAACUCAGAACACCUAUUGCGUAGGCAGCUGUCUAUACUACAACUGACGCUGAGGCACGAAAGCGUGGGGAGCGAACAGGAUUAGAUACCCUGGUAGUCCACGCUGUAAACGAUGAUCACUCGUUGUUGGCUACUUAGUAGUCAGUGACCAAG